AAUAAGGAAUGAAGUGAACACCUUAUCUCUAUUUCAUUUCAGAUAAGAACAUAGUCAUAGACAAACAACGAGUCAUUUUGUUCUUGUCGAAAAUAUGGACUUUGGAGCCUACAUACUCUUCUUCGCAGUUUUAUUUGCAAUAACUUGCAACACAGAGGGUACUGUAUGUAAGACUGACUCAGAAUGCGGAAGCGGAGAAUGUUGUUAUAUCAAACCGGCCUUCGAGGUAGUCAGUAGAAGGAGGCAAGCCAGCAUUCUGCCUGUACAACCCACAACAUCAUACAGGAGUUUGUGAAAGCUACCGUGUAGAACACGAGCACUGUGGACCACUAGAACAGGCGAACGGUCAUUGUGGAUGCGGAGCAGGCAUGUCAUGCCAGUUUGUACCAGCUGAAAUUGCGACAGUUAAACCGUUGCAAGUGGUCAGC
rnacentral:lncRNA from 1 species